ACGCUCGACACCUACGGGAGGCAGCAGUGAGGAAUAUUGGUCAAUGGACGCAAGUCUGAACCAGCCAUGCCGCGUGCAGGAUGACGGCUCUAUGAGUUGUAAACUGCUUUUGUACGAGGGUAAACGCAGAUACGUGUAUCUGUCUGAAAGUAUCGUACGAAUAAGGAUCGGCUAACUCCGUGCAAGCAGCCGGGUAAUCUGAGCGGGCUGGCAAGGC
rnacentral:rRNA from 1 species